rnacentral:lncRNA from 1 species
CAACAGGGCGAGGGCGUGAGAGGCGCGGCAAAUGUGUUUCGGCCAAAGGGAUGAAACCCUAGGGCGCCCCACCCCUCUAUUUAUAGAGGUUCCUAACAAGCCUCUGGGUCCGAGGCCAAUUAGUACUUCUAAACCUGAUCCAACUCGGAUCAUAUCCGAAUUAGGAUUCCAGCCCCUUAAGUGUGUGACCCUAUGGGUUCGGAUACG